rnacentral:rRNA from 1 species
UGGGCGCUAGAUGUAGGGACCUUUCCACGGUUUCUGUGUCGUAGCUAACGCAUUAAGCGCCCCGCCUGGGGAGUACGGCCGCAAGGUUAAAACUCAAAUGAAUUGACGGGGGCCCGCACAAGCGGUGGAGCAUGUGGUUUAAUUCGAUGCAACGCGAAGAACCUUACCUGGUCUUGACAUAGUAAGAACUUUCCAGAGAUGGAUUGGUGCCUUCGGGAACUGUGAGACAGG